UACGUAGGGGGCAAGCGUUGUCCGGAAUCAUUGGGCGUAAAGCGCGUGUAGGCGGCCUUGUAAGUCCGUUCUGAAAGCCCGGGGCUCAACCCCGGGAGGCGGAUGGAUACUGCAAGGCUCGAGUACGGAAGAGGCGAGUGGAAUUCCCGGUGUAGCGGUGAAAUGCGCAGAUAUCGGGAGGAACGCCAAUGGCGAAGGCAGCUCGCUGGGACGUUACUGACGCUGGGACGCGAAAGCGUGGGGAGCAAACAGG
rnacentral:rRNA from 1 species